rnacentral:rRNA from 1 species
UACGUAGGCUCCAAGCGUUGUUCGGAAUUACUGGGCGUAAAGCGAGUGUAGGCGGUCCGUCAAGUCGGUUGUGAAAUCUCCUGGCUCAACUGGGAGGGUGCGACCGAAACUGACGGACUGGAGUCCGGGAGAGGAGAGUGGAAUUCCUGGUGUAGCGGUGAAAUGCGUAGAUAUCAGGAGGAACACCGGUGGUGAAGACGGCUCUCUGGACCGGUACUGACGCUGAGACUCGAAAGCGUGGGGAGCAAACAGG